ensembl:misc_RNA Metazoa_SRP Metazoan signal recognition particle RNA
GCUGGGCACAGUGGCUUUUGCCUGUAAUCCCAGCUCCCUGGGACGCUGAGACGGUAGAAUUGCUUAAGCUCAGGUGAUCUGGGCUGCAGUUGGCCAUGCUAAUCAGGUGCCCACACUAAGGUCAGCAUCAAUAUGGUGACCUGUGGGAAGCUGGAGGUUACCAGGUUGUCUAAGAAGGGGUGAACCGGCCCAGGUCAAGAAUGGAGCAGGCCAAAGCUCCUGUGCUGAGGGGUAGUGGGAUUGCACCUGUGGUUGGUCCCUGCAGAACAGCCUGGGCAAGAGAGUAAAACACAGUCUCAU